GCCGGCUAAUUUGUGUGGCGCAAAAUGUGGUUUUAUUUAUUUUGGCUCUUAUUGAUGUUUGUAAUAUCUGUUGUAAUGUACAUUGCUGGACGGUUUCAAACUGAAGUGAUUGGAGAAAAAAUAGUAACAAGUCAAUUUACCACUCCUAAAGGGGCAUCUAUACGCAUUAGAGGGCCAGCAACUACCAAAUUCGCUUGGAUUGAGGCCAGUGGACCUCCCGAGAAUCGUGAAGUUAACCUUGUUGGAUUAAAUACGGCAACGGGAGAUUUUCAAAUGAUUCAAAGUGCUCUCAAACCUCCCGUAUCAGUUCCCACUGAUCAACAAAUACAGUCCAUCAAAUUACAAAGAGAUUGUAAAUUAGUACAUUGAUCAUGUUUCUGGGUGUCAAGAUAAACGAUUACACUCAUUCUAUCAGAUUGGAAAAAAACACACUCAGUCUCUUGAUUGGAACAUGAACUUCGCUCUCUUGUUGAUUAGUAUUGGAAAGAAAAUUUUAAAAACACAAAAAGCUGAAAAAAAUGUUAUCUAAAGCGAACCGUAGAAAGUUGAAAAAACGUUAAACGAAUCCAUUUUCCAUAUGUGAAAUGAAUAAGUAAAUUCUGAUUGAUAAACAUUGAGAUACAAAUAAAUGAAAAUGUGUACAUUCCA